GAUGAACGCUGGCGGCGUGCCUAAUACAUGCAAGUCGAGCGAACAGACGAGGAGCUUGCUCCUCUGACGUUAGCGGCGGACGGGUGAGUAACACGUGGAUAACCUACCUAUAAGACUGGGAUAACUUCGGGAAACCGGAGCUAAUACCGGAUAAUAUAUUGAACCGCAGGGUUCAAUAGUGAAAGACGGUUUUGCUGUCACUUAUAGAUGGAUCCGCGCCGCAUUAGCUAGUUGGUAAGGUAACGGCUUACCAAGGCAACGAUGCGUAGCCGACCUGAGAGGGUGAUAGGCCACACUGGAACUGAGACACGGUCAAGACUCCUACGGGAGGCAGCAGUAGGGAACCUUACGCAAUGGGCGAAAGCCUGACGGAGCAACGCGGCGUGAGAGAUGAAGGUCUUCGGAUCGUAAAACUCUGUUAUUAGGGAAGAACAAAUGUGUAAGUAACUAUGCACGUAUUGACGGUACCUAAUCAGAAAGCCACGGCUAACUACGUG
rnacentral:rRNA from 1 species